rnacentral:rRNA from 1 species
UUAGGAAUCUUCCACAAUGGGCGAAAGCCUGAUGGAGCGACGCCGCGUGAGGGAUGAAGGCCUUAGGGUUGUAAACCUCUAAAAGAGGGACGAUAAUGACGGUACCUCUUGAAUAGAACCGGCUAACUCCGUGCCAGCAGCCGCGGUAAUACGGAGGGUGCAAGCGUUAUCCGGAAUCACUGGGCGUAAAGGGCGCGUAGGCGGUCUGUUAAGUCCGAUGUUAAAUCCCGGGGCUCAACCCCGGAUAAGCGUUGGAUACUGGCAGGCUAGACGGUUGGAGAGGCAAGUGGAAUUACAAGUGUAGCGGUGGAGUGCGUAGAUACUGGUAGGAACACCCAUUGCGAAGGCAGCUCGCUGGACAACACGUGACGCUGAGGCGCGAAAGUGUGGGGAGCAAACC